AUGCAUGACACAGUAGGCACUCAAUACAUGUUAGCAAUUAUUAUGCAGGGCCACCUCAGGAGCCACUGGGUCCAGGGCCACCUCAGGGGAGACUGGGUCCAGGGCCACCUCAGGAGGGACUGGAUGAUGUUCACCUACAUUGUUCCCUUGGCUGACAACCCAGGGCACAACUCCUGCUUCCGUGAGUGCCUAAUACAAGAGUUGAAGCUCCCGGAGCCUUCUUUGAAAAAUGCCAUGCCUAAUGUUCUACUACAGAUGUUUGCCUUGAGUCAAAUAUGGAGCUUAUGUAAAAUUAUAUGUGGGUUGGUGAUUAUUCUUGAAAUGGAUGGCUACCCUUUCUUUAUGUUUUAAGCGACCCGGCAAGUAUGACCUGAUACCACUGAGAGAAUCACGAAAACGACCAAUAGCUAAACAUUUAAAACUCUUGAAAAUUUCCUCUUUUGUACCUUUUCAUCUUAACCACAGUAUUGCUGGAGAUUAUUCUUUGUGCUUAAUAUUAGAUAUUUAGCCCCUCUUUGUUUGAUAACCCAAAUGUUCUUUUAAAAAUCAUUUUACUGGUAUUUGAGAAAGAAGGAAAAUUUUGGAUUCUCUGCAUUUUGAGAUCUUUCCUAGAACUACAGUAAGUGUGCAGAAAAUCAGGUUUUAAUUUGUUCACAAAGGCCAAUGUGACACCGUCAGACCAGAGUUUUCCCUCUUUAGCUCUCAUGGGUCCUGGAGGCGAUGCUGUAGGGCACUGACUGUGACAGCCGGGGACACUGGGUCAUGUGCACCCUGAGAUUGUUUUCUGAGUUCCUCCCUUGCAGCUCCCAGGUGAAGAGAGUGCUGCUCCUGGCAUUACCCAUUCACUUGAUGUAAAGAAGUAUGGGGUCUAAAAUACUGCAUUUCACGUAAAACUGUUUGAUUAAAAAUCUUGGUUGUUUCCUUUCUUUUAUUUCCCUUUUAAAUCCUUUUGACUUGCGGAUAGCCAUAAAGGAAAUGAGCAGAAUAAACGAUGAUGUGACACUAUCA
rnacentral:lncRNA from 12 species